UCAGAUUUACUAUGAUGUGAACACAAUUAGUCAGCUACCUACGCUAAGCAAAAUAGUUCCAAAACUUCGCAGUAACUCCAAAAUCAUAGUUCCCUAUCUAUUUUAAAAUUGACUGGCCAAUUUUGUACUAAAUUUAGCAAUCGUCUUUUAAAAUUGUAUGUAUAUUUUUGCUUUACGCGAUUUUAAUAUUACUACGCCAGCGGUCGAUCAUAGCCAAAGUACUUGCAUAAAUAUAGUACAAAUUACAUGUAGUCACAAGUUAAUUAAGUGUCAUAGAACUCAAAAAUUUAGCAAGUAAUGGAAUACGGAUUUCAGAUCAGCUAACUUUAAAGCUUAUAGGGCCUAAUGCUUCAUAAGUGUAAAUUUAAGAAAAACAAUGCAUGCGUAUGAAUACGAACUAUUUUCGCCCUAACGUCAUUUUACCGCAAUCGCCAUUGUUUACAAGUUCAUCCGUGAAAGAUUGAGAAGUUUAUAUAGAAGUUCCACGUGUUAAAACGAGUUGUUUGUGAAUAAAGGCUUGUUUGUUAGAUUUCAAUUGUGGCUCAGUUGGUUGUUUGCUGAGAAGCUGUGAAACAUAAUUAUACAGGCCAUUAAGGAGGUUUUUGUCAGAUUGAUGAAUGUGAAAUUAAGAGGACCCAUUUUGAGGAUGCUUUUUAUGAAUGGAAUCACGAGAGAUGAAGUCUAAAAUGUGAUACUGUCAAUGUGACUAACCUUGAAGUAAACAGAUGACACAAUGUUUUUUCAAUGUCAUGGGCAUAUAAUGAAGAGAAAACAGAGAUGCUUGUUUGACAGAUACAGUAAUAGUAGGAGUUAUGAGGGAAGAUAGAAUGCAGUGAUAACUAUAUUGAGGCACCACUUCAUCACCAAGAACAUGAAAUGAAUUAUCAAUGUUUUCAAUGUGUUUGAACACCCAUUUUAAAUAAUACAGCUCAGAGUGAA